UGACGGGCUAGGGGGGGAGUUGACGUGCUCUAUUUUUCACAAAUCGUCGAAAAUGGUGACCCGAAGUCCGAGGGCGGCGCAGACGAGCCAUUGGGAACGUUCCGAUUGACGUCGAUAUCUCGCCCCCAAGAGAUCCAGGUUGGCAUUAGCCGGUUCCGUAGGGAAUCGGCGAACGUCUCACGCCCGGGAACCAGGUCAGGCGCGGAAGCGAGCAGCCCGACCGGGGAUGCUGGAUGCCUUGGGAUAGCGGGAUGGAGGAGAUCGGUUUCUAAUUCCCCUUGGUGACGAGCGUCCACCGAGGACGUGCCCACUA
rnacentral:SRP_RNA from 1 species